AUUGAACGCUGGCGGCAGGCCUAACACAUGCAAGUCGAGCGCGAGUCGGGCGGGGGAGUAAUGUCUGGGAAAAUGCCCGAGGGAGGGGGAUAACUACUGGAAACGCUGUCUAAUACCGCAUACCAUCAGCGGUGCCCAGAUGGGAGUAGAUAGUAGGUGGGGUAAUGGCUCACCUAGGCGACGAUCCCCAGCUGGUCUGGGAGGAUGAACAGCCACACGGGAACUGAGACACGGUCCAGACUCCUACGGGAGGCAGCAGUGGGGAAUAUUGCACAAUGGGCGCAAGCCUGAUGCAGCCAUGCCGCGUGUGUGAAGAAGGCCUUCGGGUUGUAAAGCACUUUCAGCGGGGAGGCGUUACCCGCAGAAGAAGCACCGGCUAACUCCGUGCCAGCAGCCGCGGUAAUAC
rnacentral:rRNA from 1 species